GAGUUUGAUUCUGGCUCAGGAUGAACGCUGGCGGCGUGCUUAACACAUGCAAGUCGAGCGAAGCGCUUUUGCGGAUUUCUUCGGAUUGAAGCAAUUGUGACUGAGCGGCGGACGGGUGAGUAACGCGUGGGUAACCUGCCUCAUACAGGGGGAUAACAGUUGGAAACGGCUGCUAAUACCGCAUAAGCGCACAGUACCGCAUGGUACCGUGUGAAAAACUCCGGUGGUAUGAGAUGGACCCGCGUCUGAUUAGCUAGUUGGUGGGGUAACGGCCUACCAAGGCGACGAUCAGUAGCCGACCUGAGAGGGUGACCGGCCACAUUGGGACUGAGACACGGCCCAAACUCCUACGGGAGGCAGCAGUGGGGAAUAUUGCACAAUGGGGGAAACCCUGAUGCAGCGACGCCGCGUGAGCGAUGAAGUAUUUCGGUAUGUAAAGCUCUAUCAGCAGGGAAGAAAAUGGCG
rnacentral:rRNA from 1 species